AGCGGCGAAAGGGACAGUAAUAUGUAGGUACCUACCCUCGGGUCCGGGAUAGCUGCGGGAAACUGCAGGUAAUACCGGAUGACAUCUCCGGAUCAAAGGUGUGAUUCCGCCCGGGGAGGGGCCUGCAUCCUAUUAGCUUGUUGGUGGGGUAACGGCCUACCAAGGCGACGAUGGGUAGCGGGUGUGAGAGCAUGACCCGCGUCAUUGGGACUGAGACACUGCCCAGACACCUACGGGUGGCUGCAGUCGAGAAUCUUCGGCAAUGGGGGAAACCCUGACCGAGCGACGCCGCGUGCGGGAUGAAGGCCUUCGGGUUGUAAACCGCUGUCGUAGAGGAGGAAAUGCAGGGGGGUUCUCCCCUCUGUUUGACCUAUUCUAGGAGGAAGGACGGGCUAAGUUCGUGCCAGCAGCCGCGGUAAGACGAACCGUCCAAACGUUACUCGCAAUUACUGGGCUUAAAGGGUGCGUAGGCUGCGCAGAAAGUUGGGUGUGAAAGCCCUCGGCUCAACCGGGGAAUUGCAUUCAAAACUACUGUGCUCGAGGGAGACAGAGGUAAGCGGAACUCAAGGUGGAGCGGUGAAAUGCGUUGAUAUCUUGAGGAACACCGGUGGCGAAGGCGGCUUACUGGGUCUCUUCUGACGCUGAGGCACGAAAGCUAAGGUAGCAAACGGGAUUAGAUACCCCGGUAGUCUUAGCUGUA
rnacentral:rRNA from 1 species